AUUGAACGCUGGCGGCAGGCCUAACACAUGCAAGUCGAACGGUAACAGGAAACAGCUUGCUGUUUCGCUGACGAGUGGCGGACGGGUGAGUAAUGUCUGGGAAACUGCCUGAUGGAGGGGGAUAACUACUGGAAACGGUAGCUAAUACCGCAUAACGUCGCAAGACCAAAGAGGGGGACCUUCGGGCCUCUUGCCCUCGGAUGUGCCCAGAUGGGAUUAGCUAGUAGGUGGGGUAACGGCUCACCUAGGCGACGAUCCCUAGCUGGUCUGAGAGGAUGACCAGCCACACUGGAACUGAGACACGGUCCAGACUCCUACGGGAGGCAGCAGUGGGGAAUAUUGCACAAUGGGCGCAAGCCUGAUGCAGCCAUGCCGCGUGUAUGAAGAAGGCCUUCGGGUUGUAAAGUACUUUCAGCGGGGAGGAAGGGAGUAAAGUUAAUACCUUUACUCAUUGACGUUACCCGCAGAAGAAGCACCGGCUAACUCCGUG
rnacentral:rRNA from 1 species